GGCAGGCCGGGGAGGGGGAGGGGCGAGAAUGGGACUCCCUCUCCUGCGGCCCUUCGGGGGCGCCCGCCUCCUAACUCCGCGCUGCGCCCGCUGACCCCUUCCCCCUUCUCCUCCCCCGGAGCCUGACCACCGAAGGAAACCCUCGGGCCCCGCGGACGCGCCCCGUCGUGGCCUCCUGGCUUUAGAAGGAGAAAGGACCUUGACUGGUCCAAGGUCAACCAGGGAAUGAGAGGCCGACAGGGAUUCGAAUUCAGACCUUGUGACUCCAGUCUAGCAUUCUGCGUCAAUCAAGAAGCAUUUGUGGUUGUUUAAAAAAAAAAAAAAAAAGGCACCCAGUUCUACGGUCUGGGAAAACCUAGACCAAAGUGAAACAGACCCUGCCUUCAGGGAACUUACAUGGGGCGGGGGAGGAGCGGGAGAAUAUGUUACCCAAGUGAAACUGACCCAGUGAAACCGACCCUGCGGGGGGGAGGGGGGAGGAAAGGGGCACUAAGACAAAAGCAAAAGUGAAAUAAACCCAGUGAAACUGACACCGUGAAAUUGACCCAGCUCCGGGGGGAGGGCACUGAGACAAAGACAAAAGAGAAAUCCAGUGAAACUGAUUCAGUGAAACUGACCUGCUCUGAGGGGAUGGGGGAGAGCACUAAGACAGACAAAAGUGAAAUAAACCGAGAGAAACUGACUCAGUGAAACAGACCCUGUCCGCUCCUCCCAAACAAAAACGAAAGUGAACGAUCUUGCCCUCAGGGAGUUUGCUUUCUCUACUCCGGGUAGAGAUGGAAUCCCCGGAGCUGAUGCCCAGGUGGCUCUUUCCCUACACCACCGAUGCCAAAUGGUGCCUCGGAGUACUCGAUUUGGCAUCGAAAGACCUGAAUUCAAAUCCUCCCUCUACCACACCCUAGUUGUGUGAGCCUAAACAAGUCACUUCACUCUACACGUUUCCUCCUCCUGAGGUCCCCUCCCCUUCUACAUCUAUGAUCUAGACAUUUCUCUUAAUGUCCCCAGGAAGGGGAUUAGGAAAGGUUUAUUUAUUCUACUAAAUAUUGAUGCGGGAUGAGGUGGAGGAGGAGAGUUGAUAGAUGUUAAAGACCAACCUUUCUGUUUAUAUUUAUCCAGAACGGAAACAUUCACCAGUAAAUAUGGCGGUGCGUCAUGGAAACAGUUUUGUUUCCCAGAUAACCUUUUCCCCUGGGAAAGUGGAGAAAGGAAGAUCUCUGGAGCAGUUUUCCAGGACAAUGCCGUUUCAGCCAAACUAGACUCAUCACAGUCCUCUUCUUCAUCCAUCUACCAGCCUUUCCUCUUAUAGUCCUUCCAGACUCAGACUCCACCUCUUCCCCCUCCCAUUUCUGUGACCUCCUCCCAGAAGCCUUCCCUGAACCCAGUAGCAGAAAUCUUCCGCUCCAGCACCUCCCCCCCAGCAUCUGUCCUGCACAACCACAUGCCACAUCCUUGAGCUGUUCCUUUAAGAAUUUUGUUUACCGUGGCAGGAACCCUUUGGGGUAGGGACUGGGUUGGUUUAUCAUCUUUCCAUCCAUUCCUACCACAGGAGGUAGAGAAGGGAAGAGAGAGGAGAGGUCUGCUUUGGCCACAUUGGGCUUGUGAUCACUCCGGGGCAGCCAGUUUAGGGACGUCAGUUGGUAGCGUGGGGCUGAAGCUCAGGGGAAAGCCUGAGCCUGGAUGUAGGGAGUGGGAGUCAUGUGGAGAAAGCACCGCCAACCCCUAGAAGAAGGGCAAGUUACCAAGAAAGAGGGUUAGGGUUAGAGAGCAGAGCAGAGGGCCCCCCAGUGCACACAACAGGCGCUUAAUAAAUGUUUGUGGCUCUGUGCUGCAACGGCCAGCUCUAGCACUCUCAGCAAAUAAAAAUAGGAGCUAAGAUUUGCAAUGAGUGUCUUCCUUCUGCAUUUUUUGCCUUACUUUUAGCAAUGGAAAUUAGGACCAUGAACCAUGGGGCAAUGGACAGUUAGGACAUCAAAUCUAGUUCUCUUUGUUAUUUUGUAAAGCUGGCGUUUUCCCAUGGGGGUAGAGUGAAAUGUGGCUUUGGAAGGGGAGAGCCUGUGAGCCGAUGGAUUCUGGGUGUCUUAGCACAUCAGGGUAAGACAUCUAGAGGAGAGCUCCUAAAGCAGGCCUUCUCAAACUUUUGUUUUCAGUAUCUUUAUCUUAUUAAAAAAUGAUUGAGGAUCUCUCCAAAGCGUUUUUGUUUAUCUGGAUUAUAUUUCUAGACAUUUACCAUAUUGGAAAUAAAAACUCUUUUUGAAUCUGUAGACUCUCUAAAAGGGUUUCAGAGAUCCCCAGGAUUCUCUAGAUCAUACUUUGAGAACCACUGUCCUAAAGGGAUGAAGGGCCUCAAGUCCAUAUCAAAUGAGGCUGUUUGAAAAGGAAGGAGUCAGGGCAGCCAGAUGGUGCAGUAGAUAGAGUACUAGGCCUGAAGUCAGGAGGAUCUGAGUUCAAAUGUGACCUCAGACACUUAACAUUUCCUAGCUGUGUGAUCCUGGGCAAGUCACUUAACUCCAAUUGCCUUUGCAAAAAAAAAAAAAAAAGGAAGAAAGAAAGAAAAGAAAAGGAAGGAAAAAGAAGAGAACCCUGGCAGUGUUGGGGGUGGGGGUGGGGGUGGGAAGGAUAGUAGCAUUCUUCCAGUAUUUGAAGGGCUGUAUGUUUUAGUCCCAAGAGCAAUUGAGAGGAGCAGCAGCCAGGCCCCUCCAGUGCUUGGGAUCAGAACAGCUUCACCUAUCAGAGUUAUCCCACUCUCGGUGGUGACAUGGCUUCCCACUCAUCCCUGUUGUUUAAGCAAAGGCUGAGCAAGUACCCAUCUGUUACCGUGGAGACGCUGUUCCUGGACGUGGGCUGGCUGACAGCUCUGAAUCCCAUAAGGGUGGGAAUGCAGUGAUUUCUGUGAUUUAGGUGUAUCCAGGUGAUUUUUUUCUCUACUUGGAUUGAAAUGGCUGUGUGGGUGGCCUGUGCUUGGGGCCUGCAGGUCCCUGAAGUCUCUGCCACAUCUUUCCAGGUGCCCAAGUCACUGAGAUAGCUCGUUAAAGCUCUUACUUGUGUCCAGUCCUGGGCUAAACACUCCACACAGAAAUACCAGCCAGGAAGACUCCCUUGCCCUCAAGGAGCUCACGUUCUGCUGGGAAAGACAACCUAUACAGCAGCCCUAGAAAGCUGGCGUGGCCAGGAAGCUGGGGCGGAGGCUCCUAGCAAGAUAAACCCCCAAACUCCCCUGUCAGAGCUGGGGGGGGGGGCCCUGACCCAUGGAAGAUGCCAGAGCCAUCGCCUAUGUGUGUGGAUACGGAGCCCUAGUGAGCCCUAGCAAACCCUAGCAAGCCCUGGUGAGACUUAAUGAGCCUUAGUGAGCCUUAGCAAGCCCUCGUGAGCCUGAGCAAGCCCUGGUGAGCCUUAGCAAGCCCUGGUGAACCUUAGCAAGCCCUAGUGAGUUUUAGCAAGCCCUAGUGAGCCUUAGCGAGCCCUAGUGACUUUUAGCAAGCCCUAGUGAGCCUUAGCAAGCCCUAGUGAGCCUUAGCAAGCCCUAGUGAGCCUUAGCAAGCCCUCGUGAGCCUUAGCAAGCCCUGGUGAGCCUUAGCAAGCCCUGGUGAGCCUUAGCAAGCCCUCGUGAGCCUUAGCAAGCCCUAGUGAGCCUUAGCAAGCCCUCGUGAGCCUUAGCAAGCCCUGGUGAGCCUUAGCAAGCCCUAGUGAGUUUUAGCAAGCCCUGGUGAGCCUUAGCAAGUCCUGGUGAGCCUUAGCAAGCCCUCGUGAGCCUUAGCAAGCCCUAGUGAGCUUUAGCAAGCCCUGGUGAGACUUGGUGAGGCCUUGUGAGCCCUAGCAAGCCUUAACUCCAAUGUGGACAUCCCUUGGGAAUUUUAAACAUAUUUGACAUUUUUUAAAUGAUAUUAAUCUCUGGCAAAGAAAGGAACCGAAUUUCAAUAACAGCUCCCAUACCCAACUACUUCCAUUUCAAUAAAAGCCAGAAACUCCAAGUUCUGUUUGUUCUCUCUUCCCUUCCGGCUUCUAUUAGUGCAGGUCCUUCUGUCGUUGUGGGCUUUGUGAAUGUCGGAGUUGUCACUUCUGCAGUGCAGUGUGUGUUGUUACCCACUGGCUAGGACCUCAUUAUCUUCUGCUGUCACCCUCUCUGGUCACAGAGGGGCUUCUAGUCUGUCACUACUGGAAGUAAAGCAGUAACAAAUCUUUCUGUGCAAUCUGGCCAGCUUCUUUAACCCAGCGCUAUUUUUCUUUAGUCCAAGUCUCCCUUGGGUGCAGCGUGGCCUGCCCGGGCCACCGGACACCGGACCUCCUGCGCUCCAGGUAGCUGCCGGACGGCAGGGAGCGUCCCCAACCACCAAUGCCGGGCCUCUGAGCAGAGAUGGCCUUGAAGGCAUCAGGGAUGUGAGGGGUGGAAUCGGUUUUAUCAUCAGCUUUUUAUAUUUUUACGUGACUUCUUUUAAAAAUGUGGCCUGGAGCCCUUGGGCAACCUGGCGAGGCCUAUGGAGCCUUUCUCAGAGUUAGGUUCACUGAAGGAAAUGCUAAAUUUUGAUUAGAGAUGAGUGGAUAUAGAGAUGUAGAGUUUUUGCCCUCUUAGUUCAUAGAGCCUCCCCUCCCC